AACACUUUAAAAAGGAAAAGAAAAAACAAGCAAAAUAAUAUGGGCUCCAUUAAGCAUGUCGAGAGGGAAACAAUGGGACUUGAGAAUAGGAUGUUAAACAGAUGAGCUUUGUUCAAUCAGCUCUACAAUAUAUUUAUAACAAUCAUCAGCCUAAACAGAAAAUUGGAAUGUUGUAUGAUCAAGGAAGAAGAGACUUCACCCAAAACAAUCACACACAAGCAUAAUUUUCCUGGUAAGCGAUUAUAACAUGACUAAAGCUAAAACUUCUACCAAGUUCAUCAACAAUUGCAUUUGGAAGCUUCAAAUAGUAGAAUACUUCCAAAUUUGAAACUAAGGCUGAUGUGCAUCACAACCAUGGACAGUUCCUUGCUGAAAUGAUUCAUUUGUGAUCAUUACCAUUCAUAAUGGAGACUGGUAUUAAGAACUAUAAGCUUUAGGAGAUUUUCUUAAAUAUCAACCACCUGUUCUUUAGUAUUGUAGCAUUUCAAAUCUUGCUUACCUUACUGACUUCAUCUCUUAGGGAGUAAAAUCUUGUCUCAAUAUGCUUGCUUCUUCUAUGAGCAAAUUGAUGUUUAGACAAGUUUUUAGCUUACUUGAUGUCUAUUAGCAUCUUCACAUGCUCUUAUCUUCAAAUCUUCAUGGGCUUGUCAAGCUCCCAUUAUUCAACCUCAGAUGAAGACAAUGUUACCAUUGACUCCUUAGAAAACCGUGAAAUAGGUGCUCCACUCAUCAUAAACAUGUACCCUUCUGUAUUCUUUUUGUCACUUUUAUCACAUCAUCAGUCUGAGUUAGAGUAUACUUCAAAAAUAUUCUGUCAUGUUUUAAAAAAAACAACCCAUAGAUCAAAGUUCCCUUUUACAUAUCGCAAUAUCAGAAAGCCUCAAAUGAUCCAUAAAGUUAAUCAUCAACCCCACUCCAUAUGCUAUGUCACUGCAAGCAGCUUAGAGUCUUGUAAAUUGAACAUUGUAAUCUUUUACUUUUAACAGCAACUAUUAUGCUUUAUUUAUAUGGAAAGUAAAUGUGAAAUAGAUGGACAGUCAAAUAUUUAACUGUUUUCUUUUUCCAGAAGGCCUUCCUUCUAUAACUUUGUGCUUUGUAGUCCCAUUUGCCUCAAGGCCUUAACCUCAAGGUCACCAGCUUUAAAUAAAAAAUACCUAACUUCCGCCUUUCAAUUUUUGUUUUGGCGAAUAAAGUUAUUGUCUCAUGCUUGUUACUUUAAAGUUCUGCUGUGCUUUUCAGGUUCGCAAGCGACUUUUGGAGUUUAUGCUCUCUACAUUUCAGUGUUCACCAAACUUCAUUGCCCUUUUAAAGGUAUUUUUUGACAAUAUACUGCAUUUCAUUUAUGAUUUUACAUCAAAUGUUGUUCAACUUUUUAUGUUGUGAUCUAUUGCAAUGUGAUGAUUUUGAACUGUAAGAUUGUGCUAUGUGAGAAUAUAAUUUUGUUUUUAGUGAUGAGCCACCUUUUUUCUUUGAAAUAUAGCAGCAUUUGUCUUCUGUGCUGUGACUUGUAUAGAAUUUGAUCUUUUUGUCUUAGAAAACUAGGGCUUAUGUCUAGAACCACUCUCGUGAAGGCUUAUGCUGUUGAGUUAUGGCUCUUUCAGGAAUCAACUUUUCUAAAAGCUUUAGCCAUUUGGCUUAGGCAAAGACUCGCCAGCCAAAUUUAUAUAACACCCCCCCCUCCUUCAAGAUCCUUUGGGUUUGAUGGAUUGAUAAUGCUCCACAGUCCACACACCUAUCUUGUGCUUAAAUUUACUUUUGUUAAGAGGAAUGGGGACUGCAAGGAUCAAACUCUUAACCAAUUAGUUAUGGAGGCUCUAAUGCCAUGUCAAGAACCAACUCUCCUAAACACUUUAGUUGUUAACUAAAGAUUCUUGAAUGAUUUUAUGUUUAACACUGUUAAUUAUAGACAAAGUGAGUUCAUUUUAUAUAAUCAGGAAAAUCCAAAUUAUAUAUGUAUUAUUAAAAAUGUUUUUAUUUAUUUUUGUAUCAUAUUGUUGUUAUUAAAGGAAAUCAAAUCUUCUCUAUUUAUGGUAUUGAUUCCUUUUUUCAAUAUUAAUAAGGCACGUGUGCUUUCUUAGAAACACAUGAUUUCAGCUCAAUGUAUCUCUCUUCCCUUGAAUUUAACAAAUACCUUUUAUGAAUUUAUUGCAGAAACCUAUAAUGGACAGACUUGGAGAAGCUUAUGACAGCCCAGACAAGGUUAGUCAACAACUAUUUUAACUAUUUGUGGAAGGUUGGUAUACGACCAUCUUGACAUAAAAAUUCAUUAAUUUUCUUUAGACAGAAUUAGCCUUGCAACUAUGUUGGGCCAUCGGAGAGCAUGGUGGAGGUGGUGGAUCUCACAAAGAUGAAGCCCGUGAGCUUUUUGAGAGUCUAGAACUGCUUUUGUAUGAAAACCUUUCCUCAAGGUAUGAUGUAGUAUUAGUAUACACCUAACUUCUUCCAGUGCUGAGAGAUUUGAAGAUUUCUAGGUAAUUCGGUGAUGACUUGAUCUAAUUUGUUUACUUGGAAGUCGUGUGGGCAUGACACAGGAGGUAUCUCUUGGUUCCGAUAAGGAUACUUACAGAAGGUCAUCACAGUCCAGGCUUUUAUGUUUUGUUGUGACAGCCAUAGCAAAGCUUGCUACACAUCAUCGAGAGUUAAUACCAAGAGCACGAGUAUCCUUGGGCAAGGUAUUGUGUUGAAGUUGCAGGACAAAGCAUAAUAGGUUAUUAAUGAUGUAACUAUUUUUCUAAUUUAGGAUUUGCUUUUCAGGUGGCUCGGUCUCGAAUUUCUGAUGCUAGAGUAUGGAGGCGUGCAUGUGAUUUCCUGGGUUUGAUGAAAGACCCUGCUAUAUGUUCAUCCAUAUUGGGGCCUUCGCGACCUACACAAGGUACAGCGCAGAAAGUAGGCAGCAUAAACUGGAGUGAAGGUUCAACGAAGAUGAUUGCACAUAUUCCAUUUUACAUUCUAGGGGAACAAGAAGGUGAUGAUAUUUUGCUCCCGUUGACAUUCAUUCAUUCGCAUGUCCAUAAUUUUUUGCACUAGGGAGCACAUUUGAGAUAAUCAUAUUUGAUUCCAAUUUCAGUGCGUGUCGUGCUCUGGCACAGUCAUCUCCUGUGUUUAUAUUUCUUUCAGUGGUGGAAAUUUGUACUCACCUUUUAUGUUGCUUGCUACAGGGCCACCUUUUCAUGAUUUCUCAUUUUCAGAUAUCAUUCCCAGAAGAUGAUGGAAGCUGAAAUUUACCAGGUGGCCAUCUUCUCUAUUAUCCAAUAUGGUCAUCUUGAGGUCAUUCUGAUAUUAUUUAUUUUUUAAUCUCUAUACUGGUUAAGCCUCCGUUAAUCGGCAAGUUCAGAUUUUAGUUAUUUUUCCAUAUUUCUGGGUUUUUUUCUUCUUUCCUUUCAGCAUUCACUCCUUAAAAUGACUCUACUGUUUAUCAUACGAGUUUGAGGGGAUUUUAACUCUUGUUAUGCCAAUGAUUCUGUCCGUUGUAACAUUACAAAAAAAUUAUAAUGUAAGAUUCUCCAGAAAAUAUUAUUUUAUUUAUGAGCAUUGCAUUUAGAGUACUUAGUUUUAAUAAUGAUAAUAAUAAAAAAAGUACUAACUUUAAAUAAUAACAAUAUAGAGAAUAUUAAAAAAGAGUAUUAAUUUCAAAAUAAUAAUAGUAAAAAGUAUUUAAAAUAAUAAUAAUAAUAUAUUAACUUUACAUAAUAAUAAUAUAUUAUCUUUACAUAAUAAUAGUAGACUAAUAAUAGUCAUAACAAAAAAUUAUACUAAUUUCUGAAUAAUAAUUAUAAUAAGUAUGAUAAAAAAGUAUUAAUUUGAUAAUAAAUUUUUUUAAAAAAACGACAUCAGAUUCUUAUCUCUUAAAUGGGGAGAUAAGCAUGGAUCAGUAGAUUUUAUCUACUGGCAUUUAAUGCUGUAACAAAAUAAUAAUAAUAUAUUUUGUGUAUAAAUAUGGGAUGAGAGGAGGGAAGGUUACCGGUGAGAAAUAAUAAUUAUGAGCGAGGGUCACUGAAAGAAGAGAGAGAAAGGAGAUGGAGAGAAAGGAGAAAUUUUUUUUGACGGAUUCUGACUCAAUAAAAUCACUAUGGGAAGGGAAAGAAGAUUUCUAUCAUCUAUUUAUUUUGUUUAUAAAAAUUUUAUGAUUUUUUUUAUCAAUUUUUUUAUGACUGUUUUUAAAUCUCAUUUUAUUUAGUUUUUUAUUUAUUUUAUUUAUAGUGCACUGAUUUAUUUUAUUGAUUUAUUAUAGUCGUUUCUAGUUAUCAAUGUGGUCAAGAUCGCGCGACAAUUUCGAUCUUAUGAUCUUUUGAGAGGAAAAUGUGCUGGAUUGGAGGUGAGAUCAAAAUUUGUUUGGAUCGUUAUCGGAACGAUCCGACAAUUCAUGGGUUGGAUUUGACGAUUUCUGGGCCUUUACAAUCCACGAACUCCCACAAAACUGAAAACCUAAUAAAAUAGAAACCCUAAUUUGAAUACCCAGACACCCUAAUAUGAAAACCCAACCUUAAGUUUAGAACCUGUGUAGCUCAUGACAUUGUCGCUCGUGCUUCUGACAUGUCGUCGCUCGCAUUGUGUUUUUUCACUGUCGCUCGCGUUGUCACGUGAUUCGUUGCCUCCGCCACUGUGCACCACUGCGCACUCUACUUUAUGGUUUAUGAAAUCAUCAAAUGUUUGUUUAACAUUGCCAAAGUUUUUUUUUUAAUUUAUAAUUUUUUUUUUCAUGUGCACAGAGAAACAACCGAUUGUUUUUACGAAACAACCAAUUGUUUUCUCUCCGUCAGUUUUGUUUUAAAGCUGUUUUGAAACCUUGUCCCUUGGUACAACUUUUUCUCUUAAUUCCAAAUGAUAUUGGGUCAAAGUUGCAUUUAUUAUUGUUUGAAAAUAACAUGAUUGAAAGUUAUGUUUGGUUUUAAAGGGAAUAUAUUCUAUAACUCUUAGAAAUUUAAGAGCUUUUAUGACUAUUCAAUUCUCUAUGUGCUGGUCAUGUGAAUUCUGGUCAAGGCUGGCGUGGGUUAGUUAUUUCUCUGAACAAAUUCUUUUUCUUGAUGAAAUCAACUCAUUGAUUACUUCUGUGCCUUCAUAUCAAAUUUGUUAUCUUUCUCCCUUUGCUUAUGUUAUCUCCUUCUUCCUCCAUGGAUUCCACACCUCCUUCCUCUAAAAGAGUGAAAACUCAUGGAAUAAAGAGGGGUGAGCGCUUAAAAGGAUGGUUCUCGGGAGAGGAUGAGAAAAUUGAGAAGUAUCUCCAUGAAACAAGUAGGAAGAUGAUCAACAAUCCAAAGCUUGCCACCUUCAACUAGUUGAAGGAACAGAAACUCAUGGAAGUGAGAAGUCUUUUGAAGGAACAAAUGUUGAAAAGGUUCAUUGAAAUGUCUGGGAGCAUCUAUCCAGAUUUGGUAAGAGUCUUCUACACUAAUUUCCAAAUCAUUGGUAAAAAUAUUUGUUCACAUGUGAAAGGGGUGGACAUGAAGAUCAUUGAUGAAGUUUGGACUGCAAUCACUGGUUUAAAACAUGUUGGUUUGAGGAUCAACAAAUGAAAUAUAGGUGUUAGUUGAUGAAUUCAACAAGAUGUAGUUUUACAAGAGCUACUUAAAAAAUCCUCAAUCAAGAGUAAGAAACUUCUCUGUGGGAGGGUUGAAAUUGAAUGAAAGGCUCAUUGCCUUCAUUAUCUCAUGGAUGUUAACCCCAAGAGGUAGAAAUCAUUCAAUGCUAACUGAAGAGGACCUUGUGCUCAUCUACUAUAUUACGAACAAAGUGAAAGUUAACUGGAUUCACAUCAUCAAAGAGCAUAUUCAAAAGUCAAUAAGGUUAAGUGACUACCAUUACCCUUAUGUUGUCUUAAUUACUAAAUUUUUGCACUAUUUCGAAGUGGAUAUGGAAGGAGAACAAUCUGAACUUGUCAAAACCUCAAGUGAAAUCAAUAAUGGGUCCCUAAGUAAAAUGGGAUUCACCAAGAUUGGUGGAAUAUGGGUGAGCAAAGAUGGUGAAGCUGACUCAUCAAGUGGAGCUCACAUUGGAGAAAAGAAUAAAGGUGAAGCUGCUGCUAUGGGAAAUGAAUCUGGUGGUGCCCAUGAAGCUGGUCCAAGUGAUGUGAACAUGGAAGAACGAAUCACAUCCAUGUCUCCAUUAAAAGGCUUGUGCUGAAUAGGUUGGAAAACUUUGAACAUGAUCAAAGAACUCAUCACGAGUUCUGUGUGGAAAUGUUUCAAAGCCUGGAUGAGUAGAUUGAAGCUGUGCAGAAUCAACUAUUUAAGCUGCAAUAUGGCCAAGAAGAUUGAAGAAAAUUUUAAGCUUUCUUCUAUUUAUGGUUUAUGAUCUGAACAAUUUUUUCUCUCUCUUUUUAAUGUUGUUUUUAUCCCUCCUUUGAAUCUAUUUGUGAAGACAAAUAGGGGGAGAAGUUAAUGGUUUGUAAUGUGCUUAUAUUCUACUUUAAAACUUGGUUUAUAUGCUACAUUAUUCUGAUUUGCAAAUUGCUGCAUAAACUUUGAUUUACACCUUGCUUUCACUAGUUUUAACACUGAUUUGUUGAUUUUUCUUAUGGGAAUUACUAAGUGAAAGCAAUUAAGCCUUCUUGGGCCAUGUUUUGGGCCUAGUAAAGUAGGAUAAAAAAAAGAGUAGAGAGUCUAGUUAGGCUUGCAAUUAAGCCUCCUUGAGCCCAAUGUAAUCCUAGGCCGUCUAGGAUUUAAAGUAUGGACGAUACCUACACGGUAAUGAAUGUGUUAAUGUCCAACUGCACUCACUCAUGGAAGGCAUGACUAUACAUGUGGCAACACCUCAAUGGAGAGUUUUUCUAGUCAAUGCCAAGAUGCCACUUGUCAUCAUGGGAAGGACACUUGUCAAGCUAAGGUGGACAAUUUUUAGGUUAACUCUUUUGAAUUUUAGCUCCUCUUAGAACUAUAAAUACAAGUGUUAGUCCUCUUGUAAACUAACUUAGAAUUGACUAAAGAAAUGUUAAUCCUCUUGUAAACUAGCUUAGCAGUUGACCUCACAUUUUCUAAAUCUCUACCUCACCAACCAAAAUUAAUCUUCUCCAUUCAAAUAUUUUCAUCCAUUGAACUCACAAAAUGUAUCCAUCAACCACAACAUACAACAAAAUACAAAGAGCUAUGGAGAUUCAAUCUAAGACUAGUCAUGUUGGUUGGCCCAUGUUUUUUUUUCUGUGCAGGCUUUUGUUUGCAUUCAGUGUACACAACUUUAUCAUUGCCACAUUUCAACUUUGUGGGCAAUAUUGUUGUUUUCAUAUUUACAAUUUUUUUAAUUAGUUUUCUUUUUAUGUAGAUUACUUCAUGUCCCUAUUUUGUUACAAUUGGGUGGGCUCAUAUUUCCCACGCUUAUUGACAAAUUUUUCUUGUACCUCCACAGUUUUUCUGACACCUCCAUAUUUUCAAAAAUUUUGAACUUGUCCAUUUUGAAUUCUAAAAUUUAGAAUACAAAUUUUGUAUUCCACAUGUGGGAAUAAAUUUUUUUAUUCCGAUUCUAGAAUUUAAAAUACAUUAUAUUUCAAAUUAUACAACAUAAAAAUACAUUGUAUUUUUUUUUCCUUUUUGGGAACAUGUUAUAAAAUUGGAACGAUAUAGCGAAUAUUAAGAUGGCCCCUGCGCAAGGAUGACACACAAAUCAAGAAAUACAUUUUAUUUUGAGUUUUACAAUUCUAAAUACAAUUUUUGUAUUUCAAAUUAUAGUUUUUGUAUUUCAAAUUCUAAAAUUCAAAAUACAAUUUUUGUAUUCCAAAUUUCGAAUUUUUUUGAAAUAGAAUUCUUUUGCUUAGACGGUGAAGAUAAAGGACUGCUGCGGCGGUGGCAUUGGACGUGGGAGAUAUUGUGGCGAUGACAUUAGAGGUAAGGAUUACUGCAACGGUGACGCUGGAGGUGGGGAGCUACGACAGUAGAAGUUGGAGGUGAGAGUUGCUAUGGAGGUGGAAGUUGGAGGUGGGGUGCUUAAUAGAAAAGAUGAAGAAAAGGAUAAAAUUGUACGUCCAUAAAGAAAUUUCCCUUAGUGUUUUGUGCCAAAGAAUGUUUUUAUUUGAGCCCAUUCUCUUUUAGGCCCUUUACUUUUUAUUAUUCACGCCACCAGUCAUAUCAUAGUUUAGGUUGUGUUUAAAAAUAAUUUUAUUUAGCUCUUUUUAUUUUGCAUUGAUUUAUUUGUUAUAAUCGUAUAGUUUAUAGUGUUUGUUUUUUUUUUUUUUUUUUGUUUUUUUAUAUUAGUAAAGUUCUAUUUAGUUAUUUGUAUUGGCUUACACNNNNNNNNNNNNNNNNNNNNNNNNNNNNNNNNNNNNNNNNNNNNNNNNNNNNNNNNNNNNNNNNNNNNNNNNNNNNNNNNNNNNNNNNNNNNNNNNNNNNAAUCAAAUCAUAUGUAUAGAUCAUUGUCAUUUUACACAUCCUGCUAUUUUUCAUGAUACUACGGAUUUAAAGUCAUUUAGUUAUUUGUAUGGCUACACACGUAAUCACCUAGGUUUUUUUUUAUUUGGAAUGCGUUUUUUUAUAAAUGAUAAAUUAUUUUAUGCUACACUAAUACGUUUAAAGAAAUAUCAUUGUCCACGUCAUCUUAUAUGUUUAAUAUUUUAUUUUAAAAUAAAAUAAAAUAAAAUGAUAAAAAUAAAAAUAAUCAUUUCUUUAUUACCGCUUAUACACUUAAGUAUAUUUUAGGUGUUUAUGACCAUACACUUCAUUUAACAUAUAAUAAAAACAAAUUUGUAUGAUGGUAUAUAUCAUCUUGUACUCAGUAUCUCAUUCUGGUAAAAAUUAAAAAUGUUUUCUUGUAAUUAAAAUUCAUGCUACGUAUCGAUAAAUUAUUUACACUAUCUUUCUUUAUUCUACGAUUUGUUAGAGUAUUAAAUAUACUCGUUCGAACUAUCAUAUACUUUAAUCUGCGUGAACUUAAAAGUGUACAAUAUUAAAAUUUCAAAGUUAAAAAUAUUAACAUGCAAACAAAUAGGUUUUUUACAAAGCAACUAUUCAAAUUAUAAUUUUUUAUUAGGAAUAACUUAAUCCUGGUCGGCUUCAAAUAAAAUAUUUAAAAAAUAUUCUCUUUGUUGUUUACAUGUAUUUUUGUUUUUUCUAAAAGAAAAAUAAUCAUUUUAAAAAAAUUACAUUUUUUUAUAUUUAAUUAGAGAUACCAUUUUAGGAUGAGUGUUGUAGGGUGCUAACAAUCCAAAACUUAAUUCUUUUAAUUGGACAAUCCAAAAACUUAUUUUUUUUAGUUAUAAAUUGUAUGAUCUAGAAUGUUGCAUUUGGUCUUUCAUACCGUACAAUAUGUACAUUAAAUAUCAAAU
rnacentral:lncRNA from 1 species